UCCGGAGUAAGAUGGCUGCAGCGCGUGUGCUGAGGACCUGGAGCCGGACUGCUGGGCGUCUGAUUUGUGUCCGCUACUUUCAAACAUGUGGUAAUAUUCAUGUUUUGAAGCCAAACUAUGUGUCUUUCUUUGGUUAUCCUUCAUUCAAGUGUAGUCAUCCACAUCAGCUGCUGAAAACAACUGCUGCUCUACAGGGACAGAUUGUUCAGUUCAAACUCUCAGACAUUGGUGAAGGGAUUAGAGAAGUAACUGUUAAAGAAUGGUAUGUAAAAGAAGGAGAUACAGUGUCUCAGUUUGAUAGCAUCUGUGAAGUUCAAAGUGAUAAAGCUUCUGUUACUAUCACUAGUCGUUACGAUGGAGUCAUUAAAAAACUAUAUUAUAAUCUAGACGAUAUUGCCUAUGUGGGAAAGCCAUUAGUAGACAUAGAAACGGAAGCUUUGAAAGAUUCAGAAGAAGAUGUUGUUGAAACUCCUGCUGUGUCCCAUGAUGAACACACACACCAAGAGAUAAAGGGCCAAAAAACACUGGCAACUCCUGCAGUUCGUCGCCUUGCAAUGGAAAACAAUAUUAAGCUGAGUGAAGUUGUUGGCUCUGGAAAAGAUGGCAGAAUACUUAAAGAAGAUAUUCUCAGCUAUCUGGAAAAGCAAACAGGAGCUAUACUACCUCCUUCACCAAAAGCUGAAAUUAUGCCACCUCCAUCAAAACCAAAAGAGAGAACUAUUCCUAUACCAAUAUCAAAACCUCCAGUAUUCACAGGCAAAGACAGAACAGAACCCAUAAAAGGCUUUCACAAAGCAAUGGUCAAGACCAUGUCUGCAGCCCUGAAGAUACCUCAUUUUGGGUAUUGUGAUGAGGUUGACCUUACUGAACUGGUUAAGCUACGAGAAGAAUUAAAACCCAUUGCUUUUGCUCGUGGAAUUAAACUCUCCUUUAUGCCCUUCUUCUUAAAGGCUGCUUCCUUGGGAUUACUACAAUUUCCUAUCCUUAAUGCUUCUGUGGAUGAAAACUGCCAGAACAUAACAUAUAAGGCUUCUCAUAACAUUGGGAUAGCAAUGGAUACAGAGCAGGGCUUGAUUGUACCUAAUGUGAAAAAUAUUCAGAUCCGCUCCAUAUUUGAGAUCGCCACUGAAUUGAACCGCCUCCAGAAAGUGGGCUCUGCAGGUCAGCUCAGCACCACUGACCUUACAGGAGGAACAUUUACUCUUUCCAACAUUGGAUCAAUUGGUGGUACCUACACCAGACCAGUGAUAUUGCCACCCGAAGUGGCAAUUGGGGCCCUGGGAACAAUUAAGUUCCAGGCGCUGGGAUAUACACUGUGGAUAAAGAUGAAGAAGACAGAUGAAGUUUCUGACCUCACAGUGAGAACUCUGGCUGGUGAUUAAAGCCUUCACCAGAAGUGGGUCUGUGCCAGUAACAUGGAGGAGAGCAGUGCUUCUAGAGUUGAGUUGUAUCUCCAGUCAGUUCUUAAUGGUGGUUUUGCUCCUUCCCUAUAAACUGUCUUUUCUCACUGAGGUUAGAUCAUUGUGUCUCCUUUACACACUAGGCCUGCCUCAUCGAUCCUGCCUCACAAACCAUACACCUAAUAAUAAGAUAGACUCUGUCCUUAGGUCACACAGACACAGGCCAUUCAAGCUCUUCAGGUUACGGUUUGGGUGUUGCUUUUCAUGAGGCAAGCAACAUAGGGGACCUACAUGAGCCCAGACAUUUAGGGAGAAAUAUGCAAGGGCUGUACCAUCUGAGCAUAAUAUUUUCAGAGUGCACAUAUAAGAGCUUCUAAUGAAACUACCAUCAAUGAGUCAGCUAGCCUCUAUGCUCAUGAAAUAGUGGUAGAGAGGGAAAAAUGAGUAAAAUUUGAGACAAUAAUUAUAAUAGUGUCAGGCACCGCUAAUGCUUUACAUAUAUUAAUUCGUUCCGUCUCUCCAGAAACACUAUGAGGUGGGUGCAAUGAUUGGCCCCAUUUGAGGAAACAGAGUUUAAGUACUUAGAUGCGUGUGGAUUAACAUACUCUAAAGAAGUAUAAAAAGCUAAACUGCUAUACCUCACUUCGUGUUCCAAAUGCCAGGAUUGUCCAUGAUUUUAUGCUGUUUGAGGAACUGGUACUAUUGAGCUAAAAGAAAGAGAGUUUUUGUUUGUUUUAGGGGUCUUAGCAGUUUGAAAUGUUCCCUGAAGGCCCUGUGUUCUCCAGGCACCGAAAGGAAGGAGUUUUGGUGUUAUGAAUUCUCUGCAGCAGUAGUUUAUGAGAGAAGCAUGAUGUCAGUUCACUUCAGAACAGGAUCUACCAACAUCCUCCUGUUCUCUUACUGAGCCAGCCUUUACACACCAGAACCAAACUGUAGAAGAGCUGCCAUUGGGGAUUCUCAGAGUACAGGAUGCUUCCUUUAGGAAUGCGAGUGAAACCUGAAGCUGCCUGCAGUGACUUCCCAGUUGUUCCUGGUGGCCUGUUGCAAAGCAUGAGGACGAUAUCACGUGUUUCGAGAGAUGAUCAAAGGAAAAUCCUGAGGCUUCCCGAGGAAAGGAUUGGGGUCUCAGUCCUUGCAGACAGUGCCUUAUCUUCCUCAGGUACAAGCACUCAAAAACUAGAAAGAGGUAAGCACAGAAUUUGGGUUUUAGAAGAUCCUCUAUCCUCGUAUGCUCUUUAUUGUCCUAAGCUCCCAUCACAAUGAAUUAGUCCCCAUUCCCUGAAAACAACAUGCAGUGUAUUUCAUGUUUCCAUGCCUUUGCUGGGCUUGUUUCUCCACUCUGGUCUCCACCAGAAGAAAAUCCAGAACAAAAGUCACUUCCUUUUUUUAGACCUCCUCUGACUGCGCCUCCCUACGUUUGAAUCAAUAUUUAUUUUUCCUCUCUUUCUCUUGCUUUGUCCACACCUCCAACAGGACUCAUGCAGUGAUGUAGCUGGAUGAGUAUGUCUUCACUGCUGGCCUGUGAACCCUCUCUGUAGCCCCAGCUCAAUUGCCUAGUACUCAGUAUGUGCUGGUUGACUUAAAAAGAAAUCUAUGCCCUGGAUCUGAUUACGUUUUUUUAUGAAGUCCUCAUGUAGCAUUGAAGCAUUGCCAAUGACCCAGAAAAGUAUAAUGUGAAGCAACCAUGGCCAUGAGGCCGCUCUUGUAUCUAUGGAAUGACUCUGAAUCGCUAUGCUUGCUACAAGGAAAAGUAUCUAGAGGAAAAGGAAUCUGUUCAAACCUCCUUAUAAUUGAGCACAGGCUCCGGACGCGCAGGCUCAGAGGCCAUGGCUCACGGGCCCAGCCGCGCUGCGGCAUGUGGGAUCUUCCCAGACCGGGGCAUGAACCCGUAUCCCCUGCAUCGGCAGGCGGACUCUCAACCACUGCGCCACCAGGGAAGCCCCCAUAAUUUUUUUAUAAAUAAAGUUUUAUUGGA